UGGCUCAGUUGUGUAGAGCAUGGUGUUUGCAACGCCAGGGUUGUGGGUUGGAUUCCCAC
rnacentral:tRNA from 1 species